rnacentral:rRNA from 1 species
AUUGAACGCUGGCGGCAUGCCUUACACAUGCAAGUCGAACGGCAGCACGGGAGCAAUCCUGGUGGCGAGUGGCGAACGGGUGAGUAAUAUAUCGGAACGUGCCCAGUCGUGGGGGAUAACGUAGCGAAAGCUACGCUAAUACCGCAUACGAUCUAUGGAUGAAAGCGGGGGAUCACAAGACCUCGCGCGAUUGGAGCGGCCGAUAUCAGAUUAGCUAGUUGGUGGGGUAAAGGCCUACCAAGGCGACGAUCUUUAGCUGGUCUGAGAGGAUGAUCAGCCACACUGGGACUGAGACACGGCCCAGACUCCUACGGGAGGCAGCAGUGGGGAAUAUUGGGCAAUGGGCGAAAGCCUGAUCCAGCAAUGCCGCGUGAGUGAUGAAGGCCUUAGGGUUGUAAAGCUCUUUUACCAGGGAUGAUAAUGACAGUACCUGGAGAAUAAGCUCCGGCUAACUCCGUGCCAGCAGCCG